rnacentral:lncRNA from 1 species
UGUUGAAGAAUUGUUUAUGGCUGGAAUUUUCUAGUUGGUUUCCAGUGUAUUUGAGCGUGUUUUUUUUGUUUUUUGGCUCUUGUUGUUGUUUUUUCCUGGUUUGUGUGUUGUAUUUAUAGAACUGGAUUGGAGACAUGGAACCUGUUAAAGGACAGACAGUAACUGCCUUGGCUUGGGAUUAAGGGGACAUGAAUGGGCUGGCGACAGCUGUGUGGAUUGGAACAAAAAAAUAUGAUAUUUUUGGACAUAAAAAAUAAAUAAUAAUAAAAAAGAAAAAAUAGAAAGACUAAAAAUAAAAACUAAAUGAGUUAAUUAAAUUAAAAGGAAUUUAAAUAAAAG